UACGUACUGCGCGAACGUUAUUCGGAAUCACUGGGCUUACAGGGUGCGUAGGCGGCUUUUCAGGUCUGGUGUGAAAUCCCCCGGCUCAACCGGGGAAUGGCAUUGGAAACCGAAAGGCUUGAGGUAGCUAGAGGCAUGCGGAACUUCCGGUGGAGCGGUGAAAUGUGUUGAGAUCGGAAGGAACACCAGAGGCGAAAGCGGCAUGCUGGGGCUAUUCUGACGCUGAGGCACGAAAGCCAGGGGAGCGAACGGG
rnacentral:ncRNA from 2 species